rnacentral:lncRNA from 1 species
AGCCGAGCAGCUGGCUGCCGCCUCCUUUCCCCUUCCCUCCCCGCGCCCCCUCCGCCCGGGACUGGACCUGCCUUCAGCCACCCUCUAGACAAUGGUCUCUUUAAUCUCUGAUUUGGAUCCACUCAAAGACUGGAAAGUUUUAAGAGAGACAACCACAGAAUUAGCUGGAAGUCUACCAAGGCCCCAUGGAUCCACAUGAUGAAGGUUUCAGGAGAAACAAGAGAGAUGCUCAUUACCACUCUCUCCGCCUGGCUCUGACUCCUCUUUCAAUCAUCACACACAGGCUUUGAAGGGUUCUCGGAACCACUGAUUGCUGUAGGACAGACUCAUCGUUCUGCCCAAAGAGGCUG